rnacentral:rRNA from 1 species
AAAUGAAUUGACGGGACCCGCACAAGCGGUGGAUGAUGUGGUUUAAUUCGAUGCAACGCGAAAACCUUACCCACCUUUGACAUGGCAGGAAUCCCGAAGAGAUUUGGGAGUGCUCGAAAGAGAACCUGCACACAGGUGCUGCAUGGCUGUCGUCAGCUCGUGUCGUGAGAUGUUGGGUUAAGUCCCGCAACGAGCGCAACCCUUGCCAUUAGUUGCUACGAAAGGGCACUCUAAUGGGACUGCCGGUGACAAACCGGAGGAAGGUGGGGAUGACGUCAAGUCCUCAUGGCCCUUAUAGGUGGGGCUACACACGUCAUACAAUGGCCGGUACAGAGGGUAGCCAACCCGCGAGGGGGAGCCAAUCCCACAAAGCCGGUCGUAGUCCGGAUCGCAGUCUGCAACUCGACUGCGUGAAGUCGGAAUCGCUAGUAAUCGCGGAUCAGCAUGUCGCGGUGAAUACGUUCCCGGGUCUU